rnacentral:rRNA from 1 species
UACGGAGGGUGCAAGCGUUAUCCGGAUUCACUGGGUUUAAAGGGUGCGUAGGUGGGUAGGUAAGUCAGCGGUGAAAUCCCCGAGCUUAACUUGGGAACUGCCAUUGAUACUAUCUGUCUUGAAUACCUUGGAGGUGAGCGGAAUAUGUCAUGUAGCGGUGAAAAUGCUUAGAUAUGACAUAGAACACCAAUUGCGAAAGGCAGCUCACUACACGGUCAUUGACACUGAGGCACGAAAGCGUGGGG